rnacentral:rRNA from 1 species
GAUGAACGCUGGCGGCGUGCCUAACACAUGCAAGUCGAGCGGAGCAAAGGUGCUUGCACUUUCGUUUAGCGGCGGACGGGUGAGUAACACGUGAGCAAUCUGUCAUAUGGAGCGGGAUAACAAUAAGAAAUUAUUGCUAAUACCGCAUAAACUUGGGAUACCGCAUGAGAACCCAAGCAAAGAAUUUCGCCAUAUGGGGAGCUCGCGUCUGAUUAGCUAGUUGGUGGGGCAACGGCCUACCAAGGCGACGAUCAGUAGCCGACCUGAGAGGGUGAUCGGCCACAUUGGGACUGAGACACGGCCCAAACUCCUACGGGAGGCAGCAGUGAGGAAUAUUGCACAAUGGGCGCAAGCCUGAUGCAGCAACGCCGCGUGAAGGAAGAAGGAUUUUGGUUCGUAAACUUCUAUCGAUGGGGACGAAAUUUUGACGGUACCCAAGUAAGCAGCCCCGGCUAACUACGUGCCAGCAGCCGCCGUAAUAC